UGAAAUUUUAAUUAACCCCCGACGAGAAAAUUUUAUUUAGUUGUACUGCUAACAGAAUAUGGCGUAGCGGUCGUUUCCACCUGCAGGCGUUAGAAGCACGAAAUCCGAAGUGUAACACGUUUACACUAUUAAAGUUUAACACUGCCGACUUUCCCAAUUCAUAAAACACUCCCAAAGAGCCGUCAGAAAUGACAAUAGAAACAGGUAUUUUCACUAGUCACCUGUCGCAUACUGGAUGAGGAAUCCCUACUCAACGGCUUAGAAGAGAUGUGUACAUUAUUGAUGGAAAAAGAGACUUUAUCUAAAACAUACACAAACCACUCUACGCGUCUCGGAAAAUCCAUACCGGAAAUUUUGCUUCGCAUUUGCAUUAAUCCUUGCGUCGGAGGAACAACUAAAAAUUUGCUGCGCAGAAGUUAGUAGCGUCUAAGUAACUACUCGUCAAACUUGUUUUCGAGUACACAAUUCUAAACCAUUUUU